GACGAACGCUGGCGGCGUGCUUAACACAUGCAAGUCGAGCGGUAAGGCCCUUUCGGGGGUACACGAGCGGCGAACGGGUGAGUAACACGUGGGUGACCUGCCCUCAGCUCUGGGAUAAGCCUGGGAAACCGGGUCUAAUACUGGAUAUGACUCCAUGACGCAUGUUGUGGGGUGGAAAGCCUUGUGCGGCUGAGGAUGGGCCCGCGGCCUAUCAGCUUGUUGGUGGGGUGANGGCCUACCAAGGCGACGACGGGUAGCCGGCCUGAGAGGGCGACCGGCCACACCGGGACUGAGACACGGCCCAGACUCCUACGGGAGGCAGCAGUGGGGAAUCUUGCGCAAUGGGCGAAAGCCUGACGCAGCGACGCCGCGUGAGGGAUGACGGCCU
rnacentral:rRNA from 1 species